rnacentral:rRNA from 1 species
UGGGGAAUAUUGGACAAUGGGCGCAAGCCUGAUCCAGCCAUGCCGCGUGAGUGAUGAAGGCCUUAGGGUUGUAAAGCUCUUUUACCCGAGAUGAUAAUGACAGUAUCGGGAGAAUAAGCUCCGGCUAACUCCGUGCCAGCAGCCGCGGUAAUACGGAGGGAGCUAGCGUUGUUCGGAAUUACUGGGCGUAAAGCGCACGUAGGCGGCGAUUUAAGUCAGAGGUGAAAGCCCGGGGCUCAACCCCGGAACUGCCUUUGAGACUGGAUUGCUUGAAUCCUGGAGAGGUGAGUGGAAUUCCGAGUGUAGAGGUGAAAUUCGUAGAUAUUCGGAAGAACACCAGUGGCGAAGGCGGCUCACUGGACAGGUAUUGACGCUGAGGUGCGAAAGCGUGGGGAGCAAACA